rnacentral:rRNA from 1 species
AUUGAACGCUAGCGGGAUGCCUUACACAUGCAAGUCGAACGGAGUGGCGAACGGGUGAGUAAUGUAUCGGAACGUGCCCAGUAGCGGGGGAUAACUACGCGAAAGCGUAGCUAAUACCGCAUACUAUUUGCCCGGCGGAUAUCGGAUUAGCGAUUUGGUGGGGUAACGGAUAACCAAGGCGACGAUCCGUAGCCGGUUUGAGAGGACGACCAGCCACACGGGGACUGAGAGACGGCCCAGACUCCGACGGGAGGCAGCAGUGGGGAAUUUUGGACAAGGGGGGAAACCCUGAUCCAGCCAUCCCGCGUGUGGGAUGAAGGCCUUCGGGUUGUAAAGCACUUUUGGCAGGAAAGCGGUACCUGCAGAAGAAGCACCGGCUAACUACGUGCCAGCAGCCGCGGUAAUAC